rnacentral:rRNA from 1 species
AAACGCCUACGGGGCGCAGCAGUGGGGAAUAUUGCACAAUGGGGGAAACUCUGAUGCAGCGACGCCGCGUGAAGGAAGAAGUAUUUCGGUAUGUAAACUUCUAUCAGCAGGGAAGAAAAUGACGGUACCUGACUAAGAAGCCCCGGCUAACUACGUGCCAGCAGCCGCGGUAAUACGUAGGGGGCAAGCGUUAUCCGGAUUUACUGGGUGUAAAGGGAGCGUAGGCGGCGAUGCAAGUCAGAUGUGAGAACCAUGGGCUCAACCUGUGGCCUGCAUUUGAAACUGUUUUUCUUGAGUACUGGAGA